GGGGCAGUAGCUCAGUGGUGUGCCCCGCCUCUUAGGCGCGAAGAACUGGGUUCGAUUCCCGGCUGCUUCC
rnacentral:tRNA from 1 species